UGUUUUCUGUUGUUGUUUGUUUGUUUUAAACAGAGCGGCAGCUACAGUCAAUGUCCAGCCUUGCCUCCUGCCUCUGCCAUGUGACCUCGCAGCCGGUCAUGUCUUGCUCUUAACCCUCUAAAUCCUAAAUCUGUCUCCUGGGGUCCCAAAUUUAGACUGAAAGUCUGCUUGGCAUGGAAAGAAUUGGAUCAACUCAACAACAACCUGGAUCGUUUUCUAGUCUUCUAAAGAGAGAAACAUUUUUAGUAAAUCAGGGGAAAGAAGGAAGGAAGGAAGGAAGGAAGGAAGGAAGGAAGGAAGGAAGGAAGAAAGGAAGGA